UUAAUUGAAACCAAAAGUUAGAGGUAUAUCACUGUUAAUGAUAUAAUUGAGUAAUCUCCAAUUAAA
rnacentral:tRNA from 1 species